rnacentral:tRNA from 1 species
GGGCCUGUGGCGCAGUUGGGAGCGCGCAUGACUGGCAGUCAUGAGGUCGUCGGUUCGAUCCCGACCAGGUCCACCA